GAUGAACGCUAGCGGCAGGCCUAACACAUGCAAGUCGAGGGAGAAGCCUUUCGGGGCAGAAACCGGCGCACGGGUGCGUAACGCGUAUGCAACCUACCUUUCACAGGGGGAUAGCCCGAAGAAAUUUGGAUUAAUACCCCAUAAUAUUGUUGGAUGGCAUCAUUUGGCAAUUAAAACUGCGGUGAUGAAAGAUGGGCAUGCGUCCUAUUAGCUAGUUGGAGUGGUAACGGCACCCCAAGGCUACGAUAGGUAGGGGUCCUGAGAGGGAGAUCCCCCACACUGGUACUGAGACAGGGACCAGACUCCUACGGGAGGCAGCAGUGAGGAAUAUUGGUCAAUGGUCGGAAGACUGAACCAGCCAUGCCGCGUGCAGGAAGAAUGCCUUAUGGGUUGUAAACUGCUUUUAUAUGGGAAGAAUAAGGUGUACGUGUACAUUGAUGACGGUACCAUAUGAAUAAGCAUCGGCUAACUCCGUGCCAGCAGCCGCGGUAAUACGGAGGAUGCGAGCGUUAUUCGGAAUCAUUGGGUUUAAAGGGUCUGUAGGCGGGCUAUUAAGUCAGGGGUGAAAGGUUUCAGCUUAACUGAGAAAUUGCCUUUGAUACUGGUAGUCUUGAAUAUCUGUGAAGUUCUUGGAAUGUGUAGUGUAGCGGUGAAAUGCUUAGAUAUUACACAGAACACCGAUUGCGGAGGCAGGGGACUAACAGACGAUUGACGCUGAGAGACGAAAGCGUGGGGAGCGAACAGG
rnacentral:rRNA from 1 species